rnacentral:rRNA from 1 species
UGGGCCUACGGGGGGCAGCAGUGGGGAAUAUUGGGCAAUGGACGCAAGUCUGACCCAGCAACGCCGCGUGAAGGAAGAAGGCUUUCGGGUUGUAAACUUCUUUUAAGGGGGAAGAGCAGAAGACGGUACCCCUUGAAUAAGCCACGGCUAACUACGUGCCAGCAGCCGCGGUAAUACGUAGGUGGCAAGCGUUAUCCGGAUUUACUGGGUGUAAAGGGAGCGUAGGCGGUUCAGCAAGUCAGAAGUGAAAGCCCGGGGCUCAACUCCGGGACUGCUUUUGAAACUGUUGAACUAGAUUGCAGGAG